rnacentral:tRNA from 1 species
GGAGAGUUGUCCGAGUGGCCGAAGGAGCAUGAUUGGAAAUCAUGUGUACGUGAUUCGCGUACCUAGGGUUCAAAUCCCUAACUCUCCGCCA